GACUAACUGUUCUGUUUUGCCUGGGACUGAGGGGUUUCCUGGGACAUGAAACUUUAGUGCUAAAACCGGGCAGUU
rnacentral:miRNA from 1 species